UUGAACGCUGGCGGCAGGCCUAACACAUGCAAGUCGAACGGUAACAGGAAGCAGCUUGCUGUUUCGCUGACGAGUGGCGGACGGGUGAGUAAUGUCUGGGAAACUGCCUGAUGGAGGGGGAUAACUACUGGAAACGGUAGCUAAUACCGCAUAACGUCGCAAGACCAAAGAGGGGGACCUUCGGGCCUCUUGCCAUCGGAUGUGCCCAGAUGGGAUUAGCUAGUAGGUGGGGUAACGGCUCACCUAGGCGACGAUCCCUAGCUGGUCUGAGAGGAUGACCAGCCACACUGGAACUGAGACACGGUCCAGACUCCUACGGGAGGCAGCAGUGGGGAAUAUUGCACAAUGGGCGCAAGCCUGAUGCAGCCAUGCCGCGUGUAUGAAGAAGGCCUUCGGGUUGUAAAGUACUUUCAGCGGGGAGGAAGGGAGUAAAGUUAAUACCUUUGCUCAUUGACGUUACCCGCAGAAGAAGCACCGGCUAACUCCGUGCCAGCAGCCGCGGUAAUACGGAGGGUGCAAGCGUUAAUCGGAAUUACUGGGCGUAAAGCGCACGCAGGCGGUUUGUUAAGUCAGAUGUGAAAUCCCCGGGCUCAACCUGGGAACUGCAUCUGAUACUGGCAAGCUUGAGUCUCGUAGAGGGGGGUAGAAUUCCAGGUGUAGCGGUGAAAUGCGUAGAGAUCUGGAGGAAUACCGGUGGCGAAGGCGGCCCCCUGGACGAAGACUGACGCUCAGGUGCGAAAGCGGGGGGAGCAAACAGGAUUAGAUACCCUGGUAGUCCACGCCGUAAACGAUGUCGACUUGGAGGUUGUGCCCUUGAGGCGUGGCUUCCGGAGCUAACGCGUUAAGUCGACCGCCUGGGGAGUACGGCCGCAAGGUUAAAACUCAAAUGAAUUGACGGGGGCCCGCACAAGCGGUGGAGCAUGUGGUUUAAUUCGAUGCAACGCGAAGAACCUUACCUGGUCUUGACAUCCACGGAAGUUUUCAGAGAUGAGAAUGUGCCUUCGGGAACCGUGAGACAGGUGCUGCAUGGCUGUCGUCAGCUCGUGUUGUGAAAUGUUGGGUUAAGUCCCGCAACGAGCGCAACCCUUAUCCUUUGUUGCCAGCGGUCCGGCCGGGAACUCAAAGGAGACUGCCAGUGAUAAACUGGAGGAAGGUGAGGAUGACGUCAAGUCAUCAUGGCCCUUACGACCAGGGCUACACACGUGCUACAAUGGCGCAUACAAAGAGAAGCGACCUCGCGAGAGCAAGCGGACCUCAUAAAGUGCGUCGUAGUCCGGAUUGGAGUCUGCAACUCGACUCCAUGAAGUCGGAAUCGCUAGUAAUCGUGGAUCAGAAUGCCACGGUGAAUACGUUCCCGGGCCUUGUACACACCGCCCGUCACACCAUGGGAGUGGGUUGCAAAAGAAGUAGGUAGCUUAACCUUCGGGAGGGCGCUUACCACUUUGUGAUUCAUGACUGGGGUG
rnacentral:rRNA from 1 species